UACGUAGGGUGCAAGCGUUGUCCGGAAUUAUUGGGCGUAAAGAGCUCGUAGGCGGUUUGUCGCGUCUGCUGUGAAAACUCGGGGCUUAACUCCGGGCCUGCAGUGGGUACGGGCAGACUAGAGUGCGGUAGGGGAGACUGGAAUUCCUGGUGUAGCGGUGAAAUGCGUAGAUAUUGGGAGGAACACCAGUGGCGAAGGCGGCUCACUGGACCGGAACUGACGCUGAGGCGCGAAAGCGUGGGGAGCAAACGGG
rnacentral:rRNA from 1 species